GUGCUUGAUUUGGUAUCACAUAUACUAAGAUUUGAAUGAUACAGAGAACAUUAGAAUAGCCCCUAUGAGUAGAUAACACAAAUUUGUGAAGCAUUUCAUAUUUUA